rnacentral:rRNA from 1 species
GACUUCUGGUCUAAUGCGCCUGGCCCGCGGUCGUAAGACAUGUGAGUGCCGGUGCGCGUUUACCAUCCUUCUAGAAAACGAGUCUUCCCUUUACUGGGCCGGACUCGGGAUCUAGAUCAUUUACUUUGAAAAAAUUAGAGUGUUUAAAGCAGGCUGAUUGAUAGGGAGAGUUGGGGGUGCUAGUAUUGGCCGGUCAGAGGUGAAAUUCUUGGAUUCGGUCAAGACUAACUUAUGCGAAAGCAUUCACCAAGG